rnacentral:rRNA from 1 species
GAAGUCGGAAUCCGCUAAGGACUGUGUAACAACUCACCUGCCGAAUCAACUAGCCCCGAAAAUGGAUGGCGCUGAAGCGCGCGACCUAUACCCGGCCGUCGGGGCAAGUUCUAGGCCCCGAUGAGUAGGAGGGCGCGGCGGUCGCUGCAAAACCUGGGGCGCGAGCCCGGGCGGAGCGGCCGUCGGUGCAGAUCUUGGUGGUAGUAGCA